GAUGAUUCGAACAUGGCAGAGAGCAGGGUGAUCCUUCGACAAGCCAGGGAACACCAAAGAUUGCCAGCAACCACCAGAAGUUAGGACAGAAGCAUGGGACAGAUUCUUCCUCAGAAUCCUUACAAGGAACCAACCCUGCCACAAUCUUGACCUCAAACUGCUAACCUGCAGAAUGCUGCUAUGUCAACAUAUAACUUUAAGAAGUAUGACUUUUCAAGAGCGUGGUGUUGGGGGACUGAUGAUCAACCGUCCUGCUACUCUCUACAGAGCAUGGAUCUACCUGUCCUUACCCAGCUCCCCAUGGCGCAGGCUCCAUCUCCUCAACUUAGAGAGAUUGUUGGGCUGUGACUGAACCACCCACCCCCAGAACUGGAGCCUGGAGACACAACCCAGGAAGGAAGCUGGGGCAACAGCAGUGCC